CUGGUGAGUAACGCGUGGAAUGAUCUACCUUUGAGACGGGGAUAGCUUGCUAGAAAUAGGAGGUAAUACCGAAUAACCCUUAUUAUGUUAUGAACGAUAGUAAGAAAAUGGCGGCGUUCAGGCUUCCGGCUCCGAUAGGAAUAGAGGUCUGCGGUCCCAAUAUAGGCUAGGUUGGUGAGGUAAAGGCCCACCCAAGGGCGACGAAGGGUAUCCCGGCCUGAGAGGGUGAACGGGCACACAUGGGACUGAGAUACGGCCCACACUCCUACGGGAGGCAGCAGCUGAGAAUAUUCCGCAAUGGACGAAAGUCUGACGGAGCGACACCGCGUGAACGAUGAAGGCCGGAAGGUUGUAAAGUUACUUUUGCACGACAGAAGGAAUAAGGAUAGAAUGGAAAUCACUAUCUGAUGACGGUAGUUAUGCGAAUAAGCCCCGGCUAAUUACGUGCCAGCAGCCGCGGUAAUACGUAAGGGGCGAGCGUAGUUCGGAAUUAUUGGGCGUAAACGGCAUGUAGGCGGUUAUGUAAGCCUGAUGUGAAAUGUAUGAGCUUAACUCAUAAACUGCAUUGGGUACUGCUUGACUUGAAUCAUGGAAGGGAAGACUGGAAUUCCAGAGUGUACGGGUGGAAUCUGUAGGAUAUUGUGGAAAGAACACCGGUGGCAGAAGCGCGGGUUCUCUAGCCAAUAGAUUAGACGCUAAGUGUGCAGAAGCGUGCGGGGAGCAAACAGAGAUUAGUAUAACCCUGGGUAGUCCCGCACAGGUAAAAAGAAUGUUACACCUAGAGUGUUUUGGGGGUAAAGAACUCCCAGUUGCCCGGGAAGCCAAAACCGCCAAUAAUGUUGUUAACCCG
rnacentral:rRNA from 1 species